GCCUUCGUGGUGUAGUGAUCAGCACGCUCGGCGCGUAUUCGAGAGGUCCGUGGUUCGAGUCCCGGCGAAGGCG
rfam:Stegodyphus mimosarum contig25259, whole genome shotgun sequence.